AUACCUUUCUCGGCCUUUUGGCUAAGAUCAAGUGUAGUAUCUGUUCUUAUCAGUUUAAUAUCUGAUACGUGGGCCAAUGGCCCACAUGAUAUUAAAUUUAUUUUUUUAGGGGGAAGGCCCAAUAGGCAGCUUGCUGUGUGGGUCUUUGGGCUUCGUCCAUGGAUUGCACUAUUUCAUGGGCCUGGAGCACCCCAC